AACAGUAAAAUUUUUGCUGUUCGCCGCUUAAAAACUGAGCGCUUGUGUUAUUAUUCGGAAACUCCUUUAUCUUUUUCUGAAUAUAGAAAGCAAAAAUCUAAAUUAAAAACCAAAUCUCUCGCUUUUAAAGUACCUGUCUUUAUUGCUGUGUCUGCCGCUGUGUCUGUGGCUAAUGCUCACGUUUUCGAAACACUUUCAACUCCUGAAGAGGAGAUCAAAUACAUAUUUGGUUACUUCGAUCCGAUAACUAUUACUGCCAUCGGCGCGCUUGGGGCUGGAGUGUUUAGUUAUAUAAUUGCUGGUCUAACUUUUCAAUAUGUAUGGAAGUUCAGAAAUCCACUACUUGCCGAACGGCUUAAAUUGAAGGAAAAUGAUUUUAUAGAGAGAAUAGCAAAAUAUAGGGUUAAGGAAGGGAUGAAGUUUGAAGAUGACUACUAUGGCGAAAAAAUUGAAGAUUUAUCUGAUUAUCGUAGAUGGUUACGGAAUAUGAAUAGGAAGCGAAGAGAACUACAACGGUCUUUA